AUCAUCAAUCCCACGGGUUUUCUGAACCCAUGUGGACUUGGAACUGGGCGUCUGCCUCACAAGGCUCGCCUCAAAUGACUUAGUGGGAACUUCUCGACCUACGCCUGACGUGAUAAGUUUCGUCUCGGCCGGUCCUGAGGCCCGCUCACAACCCCCCACAUCUUUUGA
rnacentral:misc_RNA from 1 species